GAUGAACGCUGGCGGCGUGCCUAAUACAUGCAAGUCGAGCGAACGGACGAGAAGCUUGCUUCUCUGAUGUUAGCGGCGGACGGGUGAGUAACACGUGGAUAGCCUACCUAUAAGACUGGGAUAACUUCGGGAAACCGGAGCUAAUACCGGAUAAUAUUUUGAACCGCAUGGUUCAAAAGUGAAAGACGGUCUUGCUGUCACUUAUAGAUGGAUCCGCGCUGCAUUAGCUAGUUGGUAAGGUAGCGGCUUACCAAGGCAACGAUGCAUAGCCGACCUGAGAGGGUGAUCGGCCACACUGGAACUGAGACACGGUCCAGACUCCUACGGGAGGCAGCAGUAGGGAAUCUUCCGCAAUGGGCGAAAGCCUGACGGAGCAACGCCGCGUGAGUGAUGAAGGUCUUCGGAUCGUAAAACUCUGUUAUUAGGGAAGAACAUAUGUGUAAGUAACUGUGCACAUCUUGACGGUACCUAAUCAGAAAGCCACGGCUAACUACGUG
rnacentral:rRNA from 1 species